CCUGUGUUCAAUAGAACCGCUCAGGUCC
rnacentral:piRNA from 1 species